GACGAACGCUGGCGGCGUGCUUAACACAUGCAAGUCGAACGGAAAGGCCCUGCUUUUGUGGGGUGCUCGAGUGGCGAACGGGUGAGUAACACGUGAGUAACCUGCCCUUGACAUUGGGAUAACUUCAGGAAACUGGGGCUAAUACCGGAGAGGAGCUCCUGCUGCAUGGGGGGGGUUGGAAAGUGUCGGCGGUUGGGGAUGGACUCGCGGCUUAUCAGCUUGUUGGUGGGGUAGUGGCUUACAAAGGCUUUGACGGGUAGCCGGCCUGGGAGGGUGACCGGCCACAUUGGGACUGAGAUACGGCCCAGACUCCUACGGGAGGCAGCAGUGGGGAAUAUUGCACAAUGGGCGGAAGCCUGAUGCAGCAACGCCGCGUGCGGGAUGACGGCCUUCGGGUUGUAAACCGCUUUCGCCUGUGACGAAGCGUGAGUGACGGUAAUGGGUAAAGAAGCACCGGCUAACUACGUG
rnacentral:rRNA from 1 species